GCUUCUCAGUUGGCUCAGCAAGCUCUGGGUGAACAAAAGCAGACAGAUCAAGAUGCUGAAAGCAAUAAUAUCAGUUUUCAGUCCAGCAGUGUCCCCGGAAGGAACACUCUAGAAGAUUUGAAAAUUAAUCAUGAAGAGCAACCAAUUGAUGUGAAGUCAUCAGGGAAAGGAGAGGCUAGUCUUAACAAUGUUUACCUCAAAAAGCUUGAUAUCUCAGCAGAUCUGACAGAGCCCGAGUUGUUUGAUCGAUGUACUAGUUUAAUGGAUGUUGAGCAGAUCUUGACAUCUGAUAACUCAAAGAUCUUAUUCUUGGAGGGUGCUGUAGAAUCUAAUGUAGUGCUGCCCAGCAAAUUUUCAACUGUUCCACUCAUUGCUACUGUGGCUGAUUCUGUUUUUCAGAAAGCCAUUUCCCUUUACAAGAGGAGGGAGAAAAUUGAAUUCACAAAUGGUGGACAUUUUACUUUCUCUGGUCAGCUAGGUGUGUCCUCUCCUGCACCUAAAUUAGAGAAUUCAAGUUCAGUUCAUGGUAAACUUGAAUGCUCCGGUCUGGUGGAUGAUGCGCUAGUAGAAGAGGGUGAUGA
rnacentral:misc_RNA from 1 species